CCGGCUGCCAACCACAGCCUAGGCCAGAGAAACAAGCCCUUCCGUCGCGGCCACCUGGGCGCUUUGAACCCGCCCUCCGGACCCGCCCCCGCCCCCGCGGCAGAGUGGAACCUUUGGAGCCCUGGGGGGCACAGGGACUCCUAGUAGCCAGGUGGCAUGAAAAGAAGCAGAUCCAAGAGGCACAUACCACAUACUCAAAAGAGAAGAAAGCAAACCAUUUAUCUCUAUGGAGGAAAUUUAUCUGUAUCGCCCACCCAGAGAACUGGGGAAGAGUAAAGCUGAAGAGGGUACCAUCUGGUUACAAAUGACAACUCCAGGGCACCAGAACCCAGGCCAUGUUGAGAGGCCACAUGGGAACUGAGGUUCCUAGUCGUUAGCUUCCACUGAGCUCCCAGCCAACAGCCAGCAAUAACUUGCCAGACAUGUGCACGGGCCAUCUUGGAAGCAGAGGAUCCAGCCCUCAGCCAAGAUGCCCCAGUUGACUCCACGUGGACCAGGAAUGAGCCCUCCUGCUGAGCUCUGCCCAAGUUACAGAUCUGUGAGCAAACUAAAUGACAGCUGUAUUCAGCUACCAAGCUUGGGGUGGUUUGUAACACAGAAAUAGAUAACUGGAAUAUCACCCGUGUCUUUCUUUCCAAACUUAGUUAACUGAGUCUGAGCUAAAGAGAAUUCACAAUAUGUAUCUUAUACUGAAUACCUACUAUAUUUGGGACAUGAUCACUAAUAAUCCUCACAAUAGCCCUACAAUAGGAAACAAUCAUCCUCAUUUCACAGAUAGAGAGUUUAAUGGUAAGCCUGAACUCAAACUCAGAUUUGUUUGACUUCAGAGCCCAUACUUCUUUCACUAAGCUAUACCAUCUCCAUUCACUCUAUGCUGUCUGGCCACCUGAGAGGCUGUCUGUGAGUCUAUCUCCUUAUUAACCCAUCAUUCCUUCUACUUCCGUGAUAAUCAGCAAGGCUGAAUGAUAGCUCUCAGUUCUAUGGGGUCUUUCCAGGAGAAGGGCCAAAAAGGAGUGGCUGAUCACAAGGUCAUCAGCACAAAAAGAUGGUGGCCAAGCUAGAGUCCUGCAUGGCACAUGAGCCAGAUGAUCAAGUAAUGAAAGCUAUGCUAAGAAAUGUAGGCUUUAUUGUGUGGAGAAGGAGAAGCAGUAGAGGCUUUUUAAGGUACAUUUCAGAACAAUUAU